ensembl:lncRNA
CUUUCCGGCAGGAAUUUUACGGAAAGUUGAAUAUUUGACAUGUUUGGACUUACUCUUUGGUUUGUCAGUCUUACAUUGACUCACACCAAAAAACUUUAAUAAUAAAUCAAGGGGUUUUACGCGAUCCCAGCAUUACUCAGCACAAAUCUCUAGGUCCAUCUUCAGAGCCGGUCCUGAUGUGCUUCUCCACAGACAGACAGGUGGCAGCAGAGAGCCACGAGGCCCCAGCAGCUGAUGAACUCCACUUCCACAUAAUUAAAUCUCAUGCGUCUUUUAUUCCAUCCCGGGCUCCAUUUUUGUGUCACUUCUCGGGACGAGCAUAUUAGAGCAGAGUUCCGGACGAAGAAAAGAGAAGUGAUCGGAAGGAAAGACGCCCCACGCCGGAUAAAGAUCAGCUGUUGGAUGCAGGCCUGUGACAAUACACUGACCACCAGUCAGGUGGGUCUGCGGGACAUUUCAGAUCACGGAGGGGCAGCCAGCUCGCUCAGCGCCGGGAGCCUGCGCUCAGACUCCAGUCCCAGGCCCCGCUGAGGCCUUGUCCCGGGCAGGGCAGAGAGACACCUGGCCAAACCGCAGAAACACUUCCAGCUGCAGACUGCCUGAUGCUCGCCACGGAGAGAAUCCAGGCCAAAGGUGGAGGGGCUCACCGAGGAACUGCUGCGAUACCGGGGACGGCUUCCUGACCAACCAAACUCAUGCUCUUUGGCAGAGACUGGGAAACGGAGCCCAGCAAACUCUUGCUCCUCCAAGUGAAAGUGGGAGAGCACAAGUGGCGAAAAAAAAGAGAAAAAAAAGAAGAGGCAGAGUGAACAACAGCUCCCUUUUCUCUCCGACUAGUUGACUUGAAAGGCCACAUUAUGUCUGAGAUUAGAGGCAAUUACACUGGGAGUGCGCCUUAAGACCUUUGUUUGCCAACAUGACAGGAGGGAGCAGGGCUGUAAUUUGAUGAGGAGGCAGCGCGAGUGAGAAACUCCGCACGUCGAGCUCCCAGUGGGGAGAGGCAGAGAGGAAGCCUUUGUCCGUUGCAUGGCGGGUUGGCCGAGUUAUGAAUGUUUAGAGGAACAAUUCCACCAGCAGCAGAUGUGUCUUUGUCCCGGAGUUCAGAUUUCUUUUGUGGCUACUGUUAAUGGCUGAAAAAAAAAAAUGAGUUUAAAGACUUUACGGCCUCAAAGGGAAAUACUUUCAUCUUCCGCUUGUUCCGGAUCUAUUGUUUCGGCAUUUCUAUCAAUUCCAAUUUCACAAUCGUGUGCCUUCAUUCAAAUGUCACAAAUCCUGUAAACAAAUGAUUCAGCCUGAACUCGCGGGUCAAACAAAAGCACCCUUGGCAUAUCUUCCAGACGAGACAUCUCCUUCAUUGUGGCCGGCUGCAUUGUUCUGAACACGCCGCGAGUUUUCAGGACAGGAAACAAGCAGCUUGUUCCAGCCCGACCGGCGGAACGGAGCACGUCUUUAUUUGAGGGAAGUCAUUCCGUUGAUAUAUAAAACACCAAAGCAAGGUUUCCUUCCCCCCGGCUUUCCUGGUGCUAUCCCCUUCAAAAGAACACAGCCCUUUAUACUGGGCUCACGUGCACACACGGGACCAGAAGAAAAACAAACACAGGCCAUUUAAAUAUCAAGCAAGCUGCCUCCUGUUUGAAUUGAGGAGCUACCGCUCGGCCCCGGCUCCUCCAGCCUUCAGUUACUCGCCUUCUGAGCCCAGUACAACGUAUUGGGGUGUUGAUUUCUGCAGGGUAGGCCAAUACAGUAUGUAGUUGUCUCUUAUUCGGUCUUUGAAGACCAACACAUUCAGCGAGUUUGACAAACGUCUUCCCGGUCAUCGAUGUAAGGAACCGAGAUUCAAGAUUCAAUUCAUUGUCGGUUUCUGGAAAAAACACUACAGUAACUUCAAUGCGAAGGUAGAGAGUCAAAGUACGUAAGGUUCGUAAAGUGCAGAAGUAAAUAAAUCCCGAUGAAUGAUUGCACAUGUAAAGAAUUUGUCAUGUCUGAUAUCUGAUGGGCAAAUAUGUAAAAAGAAAAAGAGAAACUCCGAUAGCAACAGCAGAACUAGUAUAAGCAGCCAGUGUUACAUGGAAACUAAGAUCUCCAGUUACCAAUCAUUGUCAGUAUCGCUAAAAACGUUUCUAACAAUCCCACUUUCACCAUCCGCCAUCUUGAUUUUUUCAACCAAAUGUUCCCGCGAGGGAGUGUGAAGGAGGAAGAGGACCACCUAUUAAAGUGAAAUCUUAGGAGUGAUGGAUGGGAGCUUGUUGAGGGGGAGCGGAGCAGCACACACCCCAGGGAGGUGGAUGAUGAACAAGGAAGGAUGGAGGGAGGGGUGAGCUCACCAAAUCCCCGCUCACACCUCUCGCUGCGGGCGGGUGGAGGGGAUGGAGACCUCCCAUGCUGUCUGCCUCAGAGAUUUGAUUGAUUCAAGCCUCCAAAGUACAUUCAACUUUUGUUUGCUUUCCUUGAAUCUUUUUCUUUCAUCUUAUUGGUUAUAAGUUAAUAUUCCUUCACCAGUUCAUUCUUUUAAUACUUUAAAUACUUCUUAGAUAUAAGCGAGCAAUACUUCACGGAGUGCUGACUGGAUUUGUUAACAAUGACCUGAAACACUUGAAGGCACUUCCCAAACUUAUUUCUCAACAUGGAGCCUUUCCAGCAACACUGUAAUGUUUUCGCUGUAAGCAAGGCCUCCUCAUAUUUCUCCAAAAAAUUGAAAUAUCCUGACAGUCGCAAUUAAUCAGCCAAGUCCUGAAGAGCUUUCAGUGUUUACAUAAUAGCUAUUGGCUACUGUCGGCCCCUCUGAUGGGCAGCCUCAAGCCGCUCGCAGCGGAGAUGAGGAACAGGCUAGCAGGGGCAAUUCUUUUCAGCUCCACACCUCCACUUUGUUUGGUGGGGGGGGCAUUUCAAUAUUGUACUACUCUCAGACGAAACAGACUCAGGUGACAUGACUUUGCGCCACCUCAUCUGGCAUAAAACUCUUUCUUAAAGAAGAGAGUUCCACAUCCAAAGUUUCCUUUGAAGGCUUUUGUGUAAUGUUGCUCCUGUGAAAACAAAUAUUGAUUGACCUUCGUGGGCCACGGAAAUAACAUAUUGGAAUUCCUAAAGGAGAAUAAAGUUGCAUUCAAUUUCUAAAUAGAAAUCACAAUAUACGAUGCUACAAAUAAAUCAUAACAUAUAUAUUUUUGUUUAUUUAUAGUACAUUUUUCACAAUAAAGUCACAAUGAGAAUCUUAAAAAAUCUCCCUUAAACCUUUCAAAACCACUACAAUGUGAGUUUAACACAUAAGUAGUAUAAUAACAGCAUAUUCUUGUACUGUAUGCUGUGCAUAUGGUUUAUUGAUCCACAUCUACCUUGCAUGGAUUUGGAAAAAUGUUUUGGAUAAUUCCAAACCGUAUGAUACUUAAUCUGUACAAAUGAUGGCAGUCUGUGCUGCAUGCAAUUGUAGGGCUGACAAAGAACUAUUUGUGCCCAAAAAAAUAUGUCAUAAGUCAUAUCAUCUAACUAAUAAACUGCGAGAUGCUAAAGGGAAUGCUAAAGUGUGUGCUUACUUUUAACGAGGAAAUCCUGUAGUCACAUUUGAGGACAAUAAAUUCAUGAAGAAGCAAAUGGAGGGGCUGUAGCCCUUGUGGUUUAGCGCCUGGUGUGGGGAGGAAUUACUGCUGUAGUAGUUUGCCUUUAACUGUCAGGAAAUGACCCAUAAUCUGCAAGCGUUUGACUGCUGCAGCAUUCCUGUGAAAUGACACAAGUUGAGCUAGAUUAGGGGCUGGGUAAUUAGCUCAUUAGUCAACAUAAACACAUGGCAGGACUCCCCCGUUCUACACCCUGCCCCCCUCCCGCCGCCCACAGCUGGUGGCGAAAGUAAAUUCUCACAAAUGUAUGCACAUGCAUACCUGAGCGAACACAUAUACAGACAUGCACGCUGCACCCAGACCACUUCAUCAAUCCAAUUCCUUUCUUCUGGACUUUGUUUUUCCUCCAUGGCUUUUUUUUUUCUGGCUUCAUCAUCUCUUCUAUUCUGCUUCGCUCCAGACAAGCCACUCUUUCAUAUUGUAGCCCUGGGGGCUGAGGGCCAGCCACUUUUCACCAGCACCUCGCGGCUUAUCAGAGCACUUUAUCAGCCUGAGGGAAAGAGAUGUGGGUUAAAGCUCUUCACUCCUCUCUGCUCUGAAAACCGGCAGGCUGUCGGCAAACAAGUAUUUGUAAGCUGGGGCUCAGAUAUGUGCGCCUUGCGACAAAGAGAAAAGCUUAAGGGGGUCAUGUGUUCCAGUGUGGGUUUAAGUGUGUCUGUGUGCACGGGAAGUACAGGACAUCCUUUGUGCGCAGAGGUAAGCCGGUCGCCACACAGCCUCGCUUGUUGCUGGUGGGACAGAUGCUUAACACUGGAACCUGGACAGCCCUUCACACCUCCUAAAUGCGGCAGGGGGCUAGAGCCUUUUCCUCCUCUCGCACCCCUCGAGGUCACCACACUGCUCUCUUUCAUCAAAGCAUCUCUAACCGUAUGAAACACUUCGCCAACUUGAUCAAGACGGUGUUGAAAACCUUUCGAAGUUUCACUUCCGCCACGUUGAUAGAACACUGCAGAAAGAGGGGGGAAAAAAAAUAAAAAAAUCAACCCAGUUUUAGCACCUUGAAUUGCGGGCACAAGCAACUUUUCAUGUUCAGAACAGGACCUGCAGUGUUUUUGCAUGGGAGCCAUUGGAAACAGAAAGCCUGGUUGGUGGUGCGUAAUGAUUGAUAUGAAUGGCCAUUUGUGCGGCUUUCCACUGUGAAGAACUGGCUGCGAGGCCAGGCCACUUGGGGAGCAGUGCACCUGGGUCACAUGAUGUUUGACAGAGGGGAGGUGGGACAAGCCGAGAGAGACGGGGCGGGAGGAGAGAGGGAGGAGAGAGGGAGGAAAUCGUUUUUCGAGCGAUCAAUCAUCUGCAGUUUGCUACCGAGACUAGUUGCUAGAUUGGAAGUUGUGUUUAGAUACAGCCACUUAAUCAGGAGACGACACAGCUGAUGGAUUCAUCCAUCAUCGCCUGGAGACACGGAACAUUGUUUGAUUGAAAGAGAGGAAAAAAACGAGAGCUCUCCUCACUGGUCGUCCUUUGAGUUGCAAUGUGUUAAAGUUGGACUGAUUCGGUUUGGCUUCGUGUGUGCGCGCUUGACAGAUUGUGCAACUUAAUAUAUUGCCUGAAGCAAUGACGCUAUGUUGGUUUUCAUAAAUCCCAUUCAUGGGUGGAAAGUUAACAUGCAAAGGCACAGUUCCUAGUUUACAUUGGCUCUGUAUCAUUACAUAGGGGAUGGGAGGACUGGAAAUACAAAAAUGUCCGUCAAAAUGUGCUUUUAUUUUAUCACUUAACAACUUUUGUUGUAGGUUUGAGUUUUAUUUCAGACCGUAUGUAUACCGUAAGCAUUUAUAUUCAUUGGUGUAGACACAAUGUAAUUCAUACAACAUAUCGAGACACACUGAGAUAAAUAUUUGUCACAAUACAUUUUUGGGAUAUUCAUAUUUUCAAAUAUGUACAGGCAAUCAAUAAAGAAAUGCAGAAAAACACCAGUUGGGUUGAAAUUGAUUUUAUUAUGCAUUAUAGUAUCUUCAGCUUAAUUUGCAAUAGUUACAGAAUACUGUUUUUAAGUUGGAGUUUGUGAGGAAUUUAAAUGCAUGUGUGAUAUAAUAGCAGCUUAAAAGGGGCACAGUAAAAAAGGAUUCAACCCGGAUUCCAUUUGCGUGGUACUGGCUCAUAGACUUCACACACGUACUGUAAAUAUCUCAUACAUGAUUAAAAUGUUAAGAGAGCAAUUACACGUGCAUUUCACACAACACAAUAUCAGAUGCUGAAUGAUCC